rnacentral:tRNA from 1 species
GAUGGUAAAAGUUUUCACUUACAAUGAAAAAUACCUAGUAGGCAUCUUUUUAGUAUAAGUGAACGUUAA